rnacentral:rRNA from 1 species
UACGUAGGGUGCGAGCGUUGUCCGGAAUUAUUGGGCGUAAAGAGCUUGUAGGCGGUCUGUCGCGUCUGCUGUGAAAAUCCGAGGCUCAACCCCGGACUUGCAGUGGGUACGGGCAGACUAGAGUGUGGUAGGGGAGACUGGAAUUCCUGGUGUAGCGGUGAAAUGCGCAGAUAUCAGGAGGAACACCGAUGGCGAAGGCAGGUCUCUGGGCCACUACUGGCGCUGAGAAGCGAAAGCAUGGGGAGCGAACAGG